AGCAGUAGCCGCGGUAAGACAGAGGGUGCAAACGUUGUUCGGAAUUACUGGGCGUAAAGCGAGUGUAGGCGGUUCGGUAAGUCGGAUGUGAAAGCCCCGGGCUCAACCCGGGAAGUGCACUCGAUACUACCAAGCUAGAGUACUGGAGAGGUUGGUGGAAUUCUCGGUGUAGAGGUGAAAUUCGUAGAUAUCGAGAGGAACACCGGUGGCGAAGGCGGCCAACUGGACAGAUACUGACGCUGAGACUCGAAAGCGUGGGGAGCAAACAGGAUUAGAUACCCCCGUAGUCCCUGUCUCUUAUAC
rnacentral:rRNA from 1 species